CCGACAUAGCUGGCACGGCAGUAACAAGUGUUGCAGAUACACUCGGUGCUCUUGUUGGAGGAGCCGCCGGAGGAAUUGGUUCUGUUGUAGGCAAUGCUGUUGGUAUACUUGCGGACUUGUAAGCUCGAUAUAUGAUUUGAGAACGUGUUCAAGACAUUGCAAGACGUGUGCAAGAAGCAUUCUAACUAAAAUUGGAUUUUAUGUAAAAUAAUGAAUAAAGUAUGUGUUAUUAAAUAA